rnacentral:ncRNA from 1 species
GAAAAGUUUGAUUCUAGCUUAAAAUUUAAGCUUUAUUUAUUUGUGCAUAUAAGAUAUGAUUGGUAGCAUUUAGUAUUAUAUAAAUUUUUGAUAUAGAUGUUUAAAAGUUUAGAAAAAUGUGUGCCAGCAUCUGCGGUUAUACCCAAGAUCUAAUUAAAUUGAGUGAUCAAAUUAAAUUUUAAUCUAUUUUUAUUUUUUAUGUAAUUAAUUUGAGUAAAAUCAUAAUUAUAUUUAUUUAAUUUUAAUAUAUAAUUUACUAUGUUUUAAAAAACCAGGAUUAGAUACCCUGCUAUUAAGCUAAAGUUUUAGUUAAGGUAGUAAAAUUUUUGAAACUUAAAGAAUUUGGCGGUAGUUUAUUCUUUCUAGAGGAACUUGCUCUAUAAACGACAACACACGAUACCUGAAACUUUAUUUUAAUUUAUAUACCGUUKUUAAGUAAGUUGACUUAAUAGUUUAUUUAAGAAAUUUAAUUUUUAAUAAUUCAAAUCAAGGUUUAAUUGAUAAUAAAGAAGAAGUGAGUUACUUUGCUUUUUAUUGUGGAAAUUUUGAAAUCGGAUUUAGAAGUAAAUAAUUUACUUUAUAUAUUUUAACAAAGCUCUAAAAUAUGUACACAUCGCCCGUCGCUCUAAUUUUAAUUUAGAUAAGUCGUAACAAAGUGGGUGCUCCGGAAGGAGCGUCUAGA